rnacentral:lncRNA from 13 species
UUAUCCAAUCAUCCAACAACAAAAUAAAGGUAGUUAAAAACUCCUUUUUAUUGUAUUAUGUUAUCCUAGAACAUAAAGUAUCAUUAAUAAUAUUUUUGUGUGUAAGAGUUUAUUAUAUUCUAGAUCACAUUAAAAUCAACUGUAUUUGGUUAUUUCUUAGUUAUGCAGCAUUGUUCUCACACUUUUUAUAAUUUUUUUUCUGAAGAGAACCAAGACUACAGAAAAAUGCAGAAUCAUUGGCUUUCUAAUGAAGAAAACAUAUGAAUAGCAUUAAAUGCUUGACACUUAAGAUGAACCCCAUCAAAUUCAAAUACGUCAGCCCCAGCUCAUUUUGCCUGCACUUCCAAUGCUGCAGAAAAAUAGACAAUGCCUCUCGCAGCAUGAAGAGUUAUACCACUAACUGACUUCCCUUAUUAUAUCCACGUUUCCAAAAUCAGCAGGAGCAGUCGUGGGUGUUCCAGAGUGGAAGACUGUCCAGUGAGAGAAACUGACUGCCAGGAUUCUAGAAUGAUCUCUGCCAUCUCUCAGU